rnacentral:rRNA from 1 species
GACGAACGCUGGCGGCGUGCCUAAUACAUGCAAGUCGAGCGAAUCAAUAGGAGCUUGCUCCUGUUGAUUAGCGGCGGACGGGUGAGUAACACGUGGGCAACCUGCCUGUAAGAUCGGGAUAACUUCGGGAAACCGGAGCUAAUACCGGAUAAUCCUUUCCUACACAUGUAGGAAAGCUGAAAGACGGUUUCGGCUGUCACUUACAGAUGGGCCCGCGGCACAUUAGCUAGUUGGUGAGGUAACGGCUCACCAAGGCGACGAUGCGUAGCCGACCUGAGAGGGUGAUCGGCCACACUGGGACUGAGACACGGCCCAGACUCCUACGGGAGGCAGCAGUAGGGAAUCUUCCGCAAUGGACGAAAGUCUGACGGAGCAACGCCGCGUGAGCGAUGAAGGCCUUCGGGUCGUAAAGCUCUGUUGUUAGGGAAGAACAAGUAUCGGAGUAACUGCCGGUACCUUGACGGUACCUAACCAGAAAGCCACGGCUAACUACGUGCCAGCCGCCGCCGUAAAAC